rnacentral:lncRNA from 1 species
GAGACAUUAAAGCACAGAGAGGUUGCCAAAGAAAAUGGUAGUGCAGCCCAGGUCUGAGCAGUGCAGCCCAGCUCAGAUUAACAACCUGGACUCCUAGUCAUGACAGUACUUGGUCCUCACACAGGGCAGAGCGCCUAAGGAGCAGGGCUGAAGAGUCGAAAGAAAAGACGCCAGCUGCGAAGAAAGGGUACAGGAUGUCUUUGAAAAGGGAACAGGGUGGUCUGAGGAAUAAUGAGGAGCUGUUUUUGCACUGCAACAUCAAAGUUGACGACAUAGGACAGAGGCUGUUUGGCCCACAAAGCUGA